ACCCGCUGAAUUUAAGCAUAUCAAUAAGCGGAGGAAAAGAAACUAACAAGGAUUCCCCUAGUAACGGCGAGUGAAGAGGGAAAAGCCCAGCACCGAAGCCUGCGGCAGUUUUGCUGUUAGGCAAUGUGGUGUUUGGGCCGGCUCGCGGGACUGCCGCUCCAUUCGAAGUCCAGCUUUGAGUAUGGUUUCUGGAUUUGGCCCUUAGAGGGUGAAAGGCCCGUCCGAAUGGAGGAUAAGAAAAGUAGGCAGUUCACUAUGCCGGCCUUCGAGUCGGGUUGUUUGAGAAUGCAGCCCAAAGAGGGUGGUAAACUCCAUCCAAGGCUAAAUACUAGCACGAGUCCGAUAGCGAACAAGUACCGUGAGGGAAAGUUGAAAAGUACUUUGAAGAGAGAGUAAACAGUACGUGAAACCGCAUAUAGGUAAACGGGUGGCGUCAAGCUGCAAGCCUAGAGGAUUCAGUCGGUCAGGAUUUUGAGUAUGCGCCUGGCGCAUCUACAGUCAGAGUGUGAUAUUGUGGUCCACUGGUUAAUAGUGGGUCCGGCCGCAAGGUUGGAAUUUGCGUUCCGUAUAUGUGCGGAGCUUGCCACUUGUCUAGGGACUGUCUGACCGAUGCACUUUCUCUAUGGUGAACACCACGACCAGUGGUACUGCCAGUCUGCUGCAGCCAAGUCUCGUUCAGUCGGCAUUUAUGUUGGCUGGGCUGUGAUCAUAGGCAAACUCAGUGAACGGUGUUCGGGUGUUUACGCAUUCGUUCAUGCUAUCGGACACUGGUUGUCAACGGGUCUGUCUGUCGACAAUUGUAGUAGUUGGCAGAUGGCCUGGUGGGCUACGGUGGUAAGAAUAACUGUGCAGGGCACUGGGGAUUGCGGUCUCAAAUUUGGUUCGCGCGCACACUACAAGUGUAUGUGGGGUGUCGUUGCAGUCUGCCUGUGGUCGGGCUUGAUCGUCGUGUUGCCUGCGCAAAGUAGGUCCGGCGGUAGCCUGAUCUUGGAUGGUAUUGUUGACGGCAUUCUCUGCGUGGACUGAUGAGGAUCUUACAGUCAGUGGUGUAGUGGUAGACCAGCCACCCGACCCGUCUUGAAACACGGACCAAGGAGUUUAACAUGUGCGCAAGUCAAUGGGCGUAACGAAACCCAAAGGCGAAAUUAAAGUGAAGCCUUGGCUCGUCCAGGGUGUGGUGAGAUCCUGCUGUUUCUCGCAUCAGCACUUGUGCUUUGUCAGCACCAGGCUAAGAGCAGUGGGCGCAUCACCGGCCCGUCCCAUGAUGUCACUGUUGGUUAGGCUGCAGUUUCGGCUGCAGUCGCCAGCUUGUCUUCGGGGCGGAGCAUGAGCGCACAUGUUGAGACCCGAAAGAUGGUGAACUAUGCUUGCGUAGGUUGAAGCCAGAGGAAACUCUGGUGGAGGACCGCAGCGAUUCUGACGUGCAAAUCGAUCGUCAAACGUGAGUAUAGGGGCGAAAGACUAAUCGAACCAUCUAGUAGCUGGUUCCCUCCGAAGUUUCCCUCAGGAUAGC
rnacentral:rRNA from 1 species